rnacentral:tRNA from 1 species
GAGACAGUAGCACAGUGGUAGUUGUAGCGGAUUGCAAAUCCGUUGGUCGCCAGUUCGAUCCUGGCCUGUCUCU